rnacentral:rRNA from 1 species
GAUGAACGCUGGCGGCGUGCCUAAUACAUGCAAGUCGAGCGAACAGACGAGGAGCUUGCUCCUCUGACGUUAGCGGCGGACGGGUGAGUAACACGUGGAUAACCUACCUAUAAGACUGGGAUAACUUCGGGAAACCGGAGCUAAUACCGGAUAAUAUAUUGAACCGCAUGGUUCAAUAGUGAAAGACGGUUUUGCUGUCACUUAUAGAUGUAUCCGCGCCGCAUUAGCUAGUUGGUAAGGUAACGGCUUACCAAGGCAACGAUGCGUAGCCGACCUGAGAGGGUGAUCGGCCACACUGGAACUGAGACACGGUCCAGACUCCUACGGGAGGCAGCAGUAGGGAAUCUUCCGCAAUGGGCGAAAGCCUGACGGAGCAACGCCGCGUGAGUGAUGAAGGUCUUCGGAUCGUAAAGCUCUGUUAUUAGGGAAGAACAAAUGUGUAAGUAACUAUGCACGUCUUGACGGUACCUAAUCAGAAAGCCACGGCUAACUACGUG